UACACCGCUUCUCGUUAGAUUAUCGAAGUCAAGCAUCAUCGGGCGGGUGUCAGUACUUGGGUGGGUGACCACCUGGGAACAACGAGUGCCGU